GAGUUACGGGCUGCGUUGUAACCGUGCAGCAACUUCAGCCCUUGCCUCCUCAGAAGAAAGAAUUAGACUGAGGCACAUAAAGCAGAAAAAGAGAUCAAGUUUUGGAACUUGGACUGGCUCUCCUUGCUCCUUAGCCUGCCGACGGCCUAUUGUGGGACCUUGUGAUCAUGACUCCAAUUAUACAUAUAUCAGGAAGCUUAAUACAAUCCCAGAGGUUUUACUUGAAAAAUAGAAUUUUAUUGAUAAAAAAUAGAAAACUUCAAAUCUAUCACAACUCAUCAACAGUCUACUCCUUUUAUGUAUUGGAAGCUUGUCAACUUCUUUUUGAAAAGUUAAAGUCAAGUUAGAGCUAAGACCAUAAACAUAUGAAGACUGUCUGAGAAGACAUGACUGGAAACUGAAUAGGGCUGGGCGUGGUGGCUCGCACCUGUAAUCCCAACAAUUUGGGAGGCCGAGGUGGGUGGAUCACCUGAAGUCAAGAGUUCGAGACCAGCCUGGUCAACAUGGAGAAAUCCUGUUUCCACUAAGAAUACAAGAAUUAGCCAGGUGUGGUGGCAGGUGCCUGUAAUCCCAGCUACUCAGGUGGCUGAGGCAGGAGAAUUGCUUCAACCCGGGAGGCAGAGGUUGCAGUGAUCCAAGAUCAUGCCACUGCACUCCAGCCUGGGAGACAGAGAAAGACUCCAUCUCAGGGGAAAAAAAAGAAAAGAAAAGAAAAAGAAAAGAAAACUGAAUAAUACUCUAUUUUUCUACAAUGAAUCUAGAAAAAAAAAAAAAAGACCAAAUAUAGGAUUACUUGAAUGAGACGAAAAAGAUGGAAUUUGGAGGACAAGACAAGAGAUACUAAGAAGAGUAAACCCAAUAAACAGACUGCAGCACAGAAAGGGUCCAGGACCAGGGAGGUUGCUUGUUCAGGAAAGAGUUAACUCAACAGGUCUGGGAUAUUCAAAUCCCACACAUUUCGAAAAAAAGUUCUCUCCUCAUUGGCUCCUGGGAGAAAAUCUCUACGUCUUUGGACUAUUCUUCCAGAUUGGAGACUGAAAAGAAGAGAAGUUAAGGAACUUGUCUAAGAUUAUCAAGCAAAAAUUUAAAGCUGAAGUUUCAAUAUUUUCUUAGAAAACAAGAAAAGUUAGUGAUCUCAUUAUAGAACGACUGUUACAGUGGCUUCAGCAGAAUCAGUGGUGGUGUCAACAGCAUCUGGAGCAGAGAGGGCAAGCUUAGUUCAUAUGAAGCAGCAAUAGCAACAGAAGAAAAGGCAGUGACAUCACCCUCAGCUUGUUGGAG